UUGAAACAUCAGUUCCUGUACGAUCACAAAAGUUAAGCAACGUCAAGCCUGGUCUGUACCUAGAUGGGUGACCGCUUGGGAAUACAAGGUGCUGUAAG